rnacentral:rRNA from 1 species
UAAUACCAACGGUUCAAGUCGCAGCCAUAUUUAUUGGGUCUAAAACAUCCGUAGCUUGCUUUGUAAGUCUUCUGUGAAAUCCCAUCUCUUAAAGUUGGGGCGUGCAGGAGAUACUGCAUCGCUAGAGACCGGAAGACGUAAGGAGAACGGGAAGGGUAUCGGUAAAAUGAGUUGAUCCUUCUUGGACUAACGAUAGCGAAGGCACCUUACGAGUACGGAUCUGACAGUCAGGGAUGAAGGCCAGGGUCGCGAAAGGGAUUAGAUACCCCUGUAGUCCUGGCAGUAAACACUGCGCACUAAACAUUGGUAUCCCUUCGAGAGGCAUCAGUGCUGCAGGGAAGCCGUAGAGUGCGCUACCUGGGAAGUAUAGUCGCAAGGCCG